GACGAACGCUGGCGGCGUGCUUAACACAUGCAAGUCGAACGGAAAGGCCCUGCUUUUGUGGGGUGCUCGAGUGGCGAACGGGUGAGUAACACGUGAGUAACCUGCCCUUGACUUUGGGAUAACUUCAGGAAACUGGGGCUAAUACCGGAUAGGAGCUCCUGCUGCAUGGUGGGGGUUGGAAAGUUUCGGCGGUUGGGGAUGGACUCGCGGCUUAUCAGCUUGUUGGUGGGGUAGUGGCUUACCAAGGCUUUGACGGGUAGCCGGCCUGAGAGGGUGACCGGCCACAUUGGGACUGAGAUACGGCCCAGACUCCUACGGGAGGCAGCAGGGGGGAAUAUUGCACAAUGGGCGGAAGCCUGAUGCAGCAACGCCGCGUGCGGGAUGACGGCCUUCGGGUUGUAAACCGCUUUCGCCUGUGACGAAGAGUGAGUGACGGUAAUGGGUAAAGAAGCACCGGCUAACUACGUG
rnacentral:rRNA from 1 species